GCUAAAGUAGUUGAUUUUAGUAGUACCUGCCCAGUGCGUAUUAUCUUGUUAACGGCCGCCUUAGCGUGAGGGUGCUAAGGUAGCGAAAUUCCUUGCCUUUUAAUUGUAGGCCAGCAUGAAUGGUUUGACGAGGGCCUCACUGUCUCUUAGUUCUAUGUUGAAAUUGUAGUGUAGGUGAAGAUACCUUCAUAAAAAAGUAAGACAAAAAGACCCCGUGCAACUUUGAAAAUUAAGCUAGAUUAAAUGGCAAAAGAUUUUUAGGUGGGGCGCCAAAAGAGGAAACUAUAACCUCUGCUGUUUAAGCUAAUUCUUACUGGAGUUGACCUGACUUAAGUCGAUCAAAGGAGAAGUUACGCCGGGGAUAACAGGCCAAUUCUUUAGUAAAGCUCGUAUUAACUAAAGGGCUUGGCACCUCGAUGUUGAAUCAGGGAUUAUAGCUUCAAGGCGUAGAUGCUUGGAUUAGUACGNCUGNCNCCUUNAACCCU
rnacentral:rRNA from 1 species